ensembl:misc_RNA Metazoa_SRP Metazoan signal recognition particle RNA
GCUGGGUGUGGUGGUGCGCACCUGUAAUCCCAGCUACUCGGGAGGCUGAGACAGGAGAAUUGCUUGAACCCAGGAGGCAGAGGUUGCAGUGAGCUGAGAUCACACCACUGCACUCCAGCCUGGGUGACAGAGCGAGAUUCUGUCUGAA